UACAGGGGGGGCAAGCGUUGUUCGGAAUUACUGGGCGUAAAGGGUUCGUAGGUGGCCACUUAAGUCAGACGUGAAAUCCCUCAGCUUAACUGGGGAACUGCGUUUGAUACUGAGUGGCUUGAGUGCAGGAGAGGGAUGCGGAAUUCCAGGUGUAGCGGUGAAAUGCGUAGAUAUCAGGAGGAACACCAGUGGCGAAGGCGGCUUUCUGGACGGUAACUGACGCUGAGACGCGAAAGCGUGGGGAGCAAACAGG
rnacentral:rRNA from 1 species